UGCGUAGGCGGAUUGUUAAGUCAGUGGUGAAAGUCUACGGCUCAACCGUAGAAGUGCCAUUGAUACUGGCAGUCUUGAGUACAGUAGAGGUAGGCGGAAUUUAUGGUGUAGCGGUGAAAUGCAUAGAUACCAUAAAGAACACCUAUAGCGAAGGCAGCUUACUAUGCUGUAACUGACGCUGAGGCACGAAAGCGUGGGGAGCGAACAGGAUUAGAUACCCUGGUAGUC
rnacentral:rRNA from 1 species